UUAUGGGUACAGGCAGGCCUUGACCGACAGCGGUUGUUGUGCCAAAGAACAAAGAAUAAGAAGAAGAAAGUCCUCUGAUCCUCUCUUGCCCCGUUAUUUUCUUAGGAGCUUGAAAAAUGUAAAGUCAUUUCGUUCAUCGGUUCCUGCAAUCUUGAUGGUUAGUGGUGAUAUUGAUGCAUCAAAUGUACUUGGUGCUAUAAAAUUCUUUGCUCCGUUUAGGUCUAUCAGGCAAAAUCAAAUAAUACGUGCGUCACAUUAUCGUACCAGAUUCGAUUGGAGUAGCCGGAAUCAUAUUUAUUUCGAAAUCGGAUUCGGAUUCAGUAAAGCGGAGUUGGGGUGGAUUCACGAAUCAAAUCCAGAGCUGCGAUCACUUGACAUUUGCAUGGAGAAGAUGGUUCCUUGCUUAUAACCAUAACAUGAUGUAACAUGAUGAGUAUAUUAUUGAGGAGCAAAAGUCUGUUAAUUUACUCGACUUACAUUCAUCAUGGUUUUCGUUGUAAACGAAAUUAAUUUGAUAUGGCUAAUAGCUAAAAUUAACCAAUUUAUUCAUGUCACAGCCAUAGACACUAAAUUCCUACAAUAACCAACUACAAUGGAAAUAAUACGCAUAAUUAAAAAUGUAUUACAUGUAUUACAUAACCGAAGGAAUUUGCUACCAUUAACAUAUUUCAGAUAAAAAGUGUUGCAGUGCUGCGACACUCAGAUACGCUAAGAUCUAA